rnacentral:rRNA from 1 species
AGUCGAGGGGCAGCAUGAUUGAAGCUUGCUUCAAUUGAUGGCGACCGGCGCACGGGUGAGUAACGCGUAUCCAACCUUCUGUACACUCAGGGAUAGCCUUUCGAAAGAAAGAUUAAUACCUGAUGGUAUGAUGAGAUUGCAUGAUAUCAUCAUUAAAGAUUCAUCGGUGUACGAUGGGGAUGCGUUCCAUUAGGUAGUAGGCGGGGUAACGGCCCACCUAGCCUACGAUGGAUAGGGGUUCUGAGAGGAAGGUCCCCCACAUUGGAACUGAGACACGGUCCAAACUCCUACGGGAGGCAGCAGUGAGGAAUAUUGGUCAAUGGACGAGAGUCUGAACCAGCCAAGUAGCGUGAAGGAUGAAGGUCCUACGGAUUGUAAACUUCUUUUAUAAGGGAAUAAAACCUCCCACGUGUGGGAGCUUGUAUGUACCUUAUGAAUAAGCAUCGGCUAACUCCGUGCCAGCAGCCGCGGUAAUACGGAGGAUGCGAGCGUUAUCCGGAUUUAUUGGGUUUAAAGGGAGCGCAGACGGGUCGUUAAGUCAGCUGUGAAAGUUUGGGGCUCAACCUUAAAAUUGCAGUUGAUACUGGCGUCCUUGAGUGCGGUUGAGGUGUGCGGAAUUCGUGGUGUAGCGGUGAAAUGCUUAGAUAUCACGAAGAACUCCGAUUGCGAAGGCAGCACACUAAGCCGUAACUGACGUUCAUGCUCGAAAGUGUGGGUAUCAAACAGGAUUAGAUACCCUGGUAGUCCACACGGUAAACGAUGGAUACUCGCUGUUGGCGAUAUACUGUCAGCGGCUUAGCGAA